AGUCAUGCUACUGCUCGCCCCGGCCAGGAGACACUGGGAAUAAAACUCAGACUUCUCCCCGAGUCCUGCAAGUUUUGGAAACUUAGUUCCUGACAGUGCUCGGGGAGAAGUCUGAGUUUUAUUCCCAGUGUCUCCUGGCCGGGGCGAGCAGUAGCAUGACU
rnacentral:miRNA from 1 species